AUUGAACGCUGGCGGCAGGCUUAACACAUGCAAGUCGAGCGGGGGAGGUUGCUUCGGUAACUGACCUAGCGGCGGUCGGGUGAGUAAUGCUUAGGAAUCUGCCUAUUAGUGGGGGACAACAUUCCGAAAGGAAUGCUAAUACCGCAUACGCCCUACGGGGGAAAGCAGGGGAUCUUCGGACCUUGCGCUAAGAGAUGAGCCUAAGUCGGAUUAGCGAGUUGGUGGGGUAAAGGCCUACCAAGGCGACGAUCUGUAGCGGGUCUGAGAGGAUGAUCCGCCACACUGGGACUGAGACACGGCCCGGACUCCUACGGGAGGCAGCAGUGGGGAAUAUUGGACAAUGGGCGGAAGCCUGAUCCAGCCAUGCCGCGUGUGUGAAGAAGGCCUUUUGGUUGUAAAGCACUUUAAGCGAGGAGGAGGCUCUUAAGGUUAAUACCCUUGAUGAGUGGACGUUACUCGCAGAAUAAGCACCGGCUAACUCUGUGCCAGCCGCCGCCGUAAGAC
rnacentral:rRNA from 1 species